rnacentral:rRNA from 1 species
GAUGAACGCUGGCGGCGUGCCUAAUACAUGCAAGUCGAGCGAACAGACGAGGAGCUUGCUCCUCUGACGUUAGCGGCGGACGGGUGAGUAACACGUGGAUAACCUACCUAUAAGACUGGGAUAACUUCGGGAAACCGGAGCUAAUACCGGAUAAUAUAUUGAACCGCAUGGUUCAAUAGUGAAAGACGGUUUUGCUGUCACUUAUAGAUGGAUCCGCGCCGCAUUAGCUAGUUGGUAAGGUAACGGCUUACCAAGGGGACGAUGCGUAGCCGACCUGAGAGGUGAAAGGCACCACCUGAAUAGGGGAGAGGGCCGAGGUCCCCAUGGGAGGGCAAUGAAGAAAACCACCCGCACGGGGAGAAAGCGUGAAGGAACCACGCCGUGAGGGUGAUGAAGUUUUUUGAAGGGUAAAAAUCUGUUUUGGGGAAAAAACAAAUGUAAAAGAAAUUAGGACCGUCUUAACGGAACCAAAGCAGGAAGCAAGGCGAAAAAUAGG